rnacentral:rRNA from 1 species
GACGAACGCUGGCGGCGUGCUUAACACAUGCAAGUCGAACGGAAAGGCCUCGUUCGGGGGGUACUCUAGUGGCGAACGGGUGAGUAACACGUGAGUAACCUGCCCUUUACUCUGGGAUAACCCCAGGAAACUGGGGCUAAUACCGGAUAGGAGCUCCUGCCGCAUGGUGGGGGUUGGAAAGUUUUGUCGGUUUGGGAUGGACUCGCGGCCUAUCAGCUUGUUGGUGGGGUAGUGGCUUACCAAGGCGUUGACGGGUAGCCGGCCUGAGAGGGUGACCGGCCCAAAUGGGAAUGGGAUACGGCCCCGAAGCCUUCGGGAAGGAGGAGGGGGGAAUUUUGGCCAAAGGGUGGAAGCCCGGUUGAACAAAGCCGGGGGCGGGAGUGAGGGCUUUGGGUUGGAAACCGUCUUCGCUCAUGAAGGAGCUGUGUGUGACGGUAGUGGGUAAAGAAGCACCGGCUAACUACGUG